UGAACGCUGGCGGCAGGCUUAACACAUGUCAAGUCGAGCGGGGGUAGGUUGCUUCGGUAACUGACCUAGCGGCGGACGGGUGAGUAAUGCUUAGGAAUCUGCCUAUUAGUGGGGGACAACAUUCCGAAAGGGAUGCUAAUACCGCAUACGCCCUACGGGGGAAAGCAGGGGAUCUUCGGACCUUGCGCUAAUAGAUGAGCCUAAGUCGGAUUAGCUAGUUGGUGGGGUAAAGGCCUACCAAGGCGACGAUCUGUAGCGGGUCUGAGAGGAUGAUCCGCCACAGUGGGACUGACACGCGGCCCAGACUCCUACUGGAGGCAUCAGUGGGGAAUAUUGGACAAUGGGCGCAAGCCUGAUCCAGCCAUGCCGCGUGUGUGAAGAAGGCCUUUUGGUUGUAAAGCACUUUAAGCGAGGAGGAGGCUCCUUUAGUUAAUACCUAAAGAGAGUGGACGUUACUCGCAGAAUAAGCACCGGCUAACUCUGUGCCAGCAGCCGCGGUAAUACAGAGGGUGCGAGCGUUAAUCGGAUUUACUGGGCGUAAAGCGUGCGUAGGCGGCUUUUUAAGUCGGAUGUGAAAUCCCUGAGCUUAACUUAGGAAUUGCAUUCGAUACUGGAAAGCUAGAGUAUGGGAGAGGAUGGUAGAAUUCCAGGUGUAGCGGUGAAAUGCGUAGAGAUCUGGAGGAAUACCGAUGGCGAAGGCAGCCAUCUGGCCUAAUACUGACGCUGAGGUACGAAAGCAUGGGGAGCAAACAGGAUUAGAUACCCUGGUAGUCCAUGCCGUAAACGAUGUCUACUAGCCGUUGGGGCCUUUGAGGCUUUAGUGGCGCAGCUAACGCGAUAAGUAGACCGCCUGGGGAGUACGGUCGCAAGACUAAAACUCAAAUGAAUUG
rnacentral:rRNA from 1 species